CGGGUAGCCGGCCUGAGAGGGUGACCGGCCACACUGGGACUGAGAUACGGCCCAGACUCCUACGGGAGGCAGCAGUGGGGAAUAUUGCACAAUGGGCGCAAGCCUGAUGCAGCGACGCCGCGUGAGGGAUGACGGCCUUCGGGUUGUAAACCUCUUUCAGCACAGACGAAGCGCAAGUGACGGUAUGUGCAGAAGAAGGACCGGCCAACUACGUGCCAGAGCCCGCGGCCGA
rnacentral:rRNA from 1 species